AGCGAACGCUGGCGGCGGGCCUAACACAUGCAAGUCGAACGAACUCUUCGGAGUUAGUGGCGGACGGGUGAGUAACACGUGGGAACGUGCCUUUUGGUUCGGAAUAACUCAGGGAAACUUGUGCUAAUACCGAAUGUGCCCUUCGGGGGAAAGAUUUAUCGCCAUUAGAGCGGCCCGCGUCUGAUUAGCUAGUUGGUGAGGUAACGGCUCACCAAGGCGACGAUCAGUAGCUGGUCUGAGAGGAUGACCAGCCACACUGGGACUGAGACACGGCCCAGACUCCGACGGGAGGCAGCAGUGGGGAAUCUUGCGCAAUGGGCGAAAGCCUGACGCAGCCAUGCCGCGUGAAUGAUGAAGGUCUUAGGAUUGUAAAAUUCUUUCACCGGGGACGAUAAUGACGGUACCCGGAGAAGAAGCCCCGGCUAACUUCGUG
rnacentral:rRNA from 1 species